AACGCAAAUUGCGCUCGCGGCUUCGGCCAAGAGCAUGUCUGCCUCAGCGUCGGGUUAAUACUCGCUCCCAACAUUCCUUGUGAGUGUUGGCGAAGCGGACCUGACCUUCCCAGCAAUUUAAGUAUUGCUGGGUCGGUUGAAGUGCAGAGGUUGUCGCAUGGACCCGCUCAAGGGCCUCAACUGGGUAGGCUAUUCGUAGCUAUAUGCUUUAGUUGAUGGCUUGGGACUUUGCAAUGACGGCCCAAUCCAGGAACUGAGUUGCAAUACACUCAGCUAUAUAACCCAUUUUCUCGACCUGAGCUCAGGCAAGAUUACCCGCUGAACUUAA
rnacentral:misc_RNA from 1 species